AGGGUUAUGGUUUACGCGAUGAUU
rnacentral:siRNA from 1 species